rnacentral:tRNA from 1 species
GGAGAGAUGGUCGAGUCGGUCGAAGGCGCUCGCCUGGAAAGUGAGUAUACGUCGUCAAAAGCGUAUCGUGGGUUCGAAUCCCACUCUCUCCGCCA